rnacentral:SRP_RNA from 1 species
AAUAAUUGAUGGAGCAACAGUUCUGCGUGAAGCGGGUCAGGGGAGGAAUCCAGCAGCCCUAAGCGAUGUGAAUUGUGUGCUCUUUUUUUUGUGCUUUA